AUUAGCAAUCACUUUAUACAUGAUGCAUUAAACUUUCAGAAGUCUGUCCCCUAUCCAGCAGUGAUGAUUAGGGAGUGUAGCAGACAUCACUAACAGACGGUCGUCCCCACCAACACCAAAACCCUAGAGAGGACAGCAUGUAAACCACUGUUUUGAUGCCUAUAAAAUAACUUAACUAUAGUUCUAAUACUUAAAGGCUUACCUAGAUAUAAACUGUUUUAUCCUAAUAGACCCAGCUUCUGAGAUUUUAAAUCCCUGUGUUUGCUUUUCAAUCAUAUUUUUCAUCUCCUUUUCAUGAUUAGGUAAUGAUAUACUUUGUCUCCACCCACGUGCUUGCUUCAUACUAUCACUUCGAAUGUCUGUGAGCAGCCUCUUUCCCAACUGCAUAUUUCUAAUAUAACCACAUAACCAAGCUUAGCAGAAUUAUAUUAAAGA
rnacentral:lncRNA from 1 species